rnacentral:rRNA from 1 species
GAUGAACGCUGGCGGCGUGCCUAAUACAUGCAAGUCGAGCGAACAGACGAGGAGCUUGCUCCUCUGACGUUAGCGGCGGACGGGUGAGUAACACGUGGAUAACCUACCUAUAAGACUGGGAUAACUUCGGGAAACCGGAGCUAAUACCGGAUAAUAUAUUGAACCGCAUGGUUCAAUAGUGAAAGACGGUUUUGCUGUCACUUAUAGAUGGAUCCGCGCCGCAUUGGCUAGUUGGUAAGGUAACGGCUUACCAAGGCAACGAUGCGUAGCCGACCUGAGAGGGUGAUCGGCCACACUGGAACUGAGACACGGUCCAGACUCCUACGGGAGGCAGCAGUAGGGAAUCGUCCGCAAUGGGCGAAAGCCUGACGGAGCAACGCCGCGUGAGUGAUGAAGGUCUUCGGAUCGUAAAACUCUGUUAUUAGGGAAGAACAAAUGUGUAAGUAACUAUGCACGUCUUGACGGUACCUAAUCAGAAAGCCACGGCUAACUACGUG